rnacentral:rRNA from 1 species
CUACGGGCUGCUGCAGUGGGGAAUCUUAGACAAUGGGCGCAAGCCUGAUCUAGCCAUGCCGCGUGAGUGAUGAAGGCCUUAGGGUCGUAAAGCUCUUUCGCUGGGGAAGAUAAUGACGGUACCCAGUAAAGAAACCCCGGCUAACUCCGUGCCAGCAGCCGCGGUAAUACGGAGGGGGUUAGCGUUGUUCGGAAUUACUGGGCGUAAAGCGCGCGUAGGCGGACUGUUAAGUCGGGGGUGAAAUCCCGGGGCUCAACCCCGGAACGGCCUUCGAUACUGGCAGUCUGGAGUUCGAGAGAGGUGAGUGGAAUUCCGAGUGUAGAGGUGAAAUUCGUAGAUAUUCGGAGGAACACCAGUGGCGAAGGCGGCUCACUGGCUCGAUACUGACGCUGAGGUGCGAAAGUGUGGGGAGCAAACAGGGUUAGAUACCCUGGUAGUC